rnacentral:lncRNA from 1 species
CACAGUUCUGGCCAUUGACCAGCCCUGAUUUACACCAUCUGCUAUUCACCACCCAUCUACCCCUAUACUUCUCAGAGUGAGUUUGACAAUUCCCAGGCCAUCAAGGACCACAUCCCUCCAUCGUUUCUUGAGAUAACUGAAGUAUUUUAGGAGAAACUGAUGUUAAAAAGACCAAACCAGAAUAUUGGUUACAAAGCAGUAUAUUGUAAUUAAAAAGCAGACUCUGGAACUAGACUUGUUUGGUGCAGCCAUUUGUCAGUUGAGUAACUACAAACAAGAUGCUUAACCUCUCUGUUCCUCAAUUUGCUUGUGUGUUCAGAUGAUAUCUGUUCUGUUGAGCAGAGGGUUGAAACUUUAUGCCUGGCAUAUAGUAAGAGCCUUCAAUAGAUAAAUUUAUUACUAUGUAUAUUACUAUGGAAUUCUAAGCCGGGGAACAGCAAACUAUAUGUUGUUGGCCAAAUCCCGCCUCUAUCCUAUUUUCGUACGGCCUGAGAGCUGGAAUUUCACAUUUGUAAAGAAUUUUAAGAAGAAAAAAAAGUAUAUAUAAAAAAGGAGAAAGCAAAGAAUAUGCUACAGAAAAUGUAUAUGGACUGCAAAGCCUAAAACAUUGUCUAGCCCUUAAAAAAAAAAGAUUCGUUUAUUCAUUUUAGAGAGCGUGCACACAUGGUGGGGGAAGAGGGGUAAAGGGAGAGGGAGCGACAGUCCCACGCUGACUCUACAGUGAGUGCAGAACCCGAUGUUGGGCUUGAUCUCAAGAUCCUGAGAUCAGGACCUGAGCCAAAACCAAGAGUCAGAUGCUUGAACACACUGCGCCACCCAGGCGCCCCCCCCCCACACAAAAUUUAAACACAAAAUUUAAACAAGGAAAGAAGGAAAAGAAACAGAAAACAUGCCCUAAUAUCCCCCGAGAACGCACUGAAUUGCAACAGUUUAUACAUUUAAGGGGUAAAAAAGUGGCAACCUACCGUAAGCGCUGCCUUGCUGAGGAUUCUGGGAAAUGUAGUCCGCGAGCGCGCCGCAGUCAGAGCCACUUCCGCUACCGUCGGGAGGCGCUGUCAGCCCUUGUUCCGCCAGGGGUUCUGGGAAAGCUGGUCCGGGAGCGGCGUCGGGUCCGGGCACUUGAGCUGCGGCGGGGCGAAAUCCCGGUCAGCGGUACCUCCUGGGAGGACCCUGCCCUCUCCCAGGAGCAGCAGGAGAGAAUGACCAAGUUUCAGGUGAGUUGAGUUUUGAUUUUUUAUCAAAAUUACAUGCCUUUUUCUCAAAGACGAGACGCAUCUUUUUUCUGUUCGCUGGGAAGGAUAAAGGAGGAAAACGGGCAUUUGUUAUGUGCGAGUUACUUAUUU